rnacentral:rRNA from 1 species
UGGGGAAUUUUGGACAAUGGGGGAAACCCUGAUCCAGCCAUACCGCGUGAGUGAAGAAGGCCUUCGGGUUGUAAAGCUCUUUCAGCCGGAAAGAAAUCGUGCAGGCUAAUACCCUGUAUGGAUGACGGUACCGGAAGAAGAAGCACCGGCUAACUACGUGCCAGCAGCCGCGGUAAUACGUAGGGUGCGAGCGUUAAUCGGAAUUACUGGGCGUAAAGCGUGCGCAGGCGGCUUUUUAAGCCAGAUGUGA